UCAAACUUGGUCAUUUAGAGGAAGUAAAAGUCGUAACAAGGUAGCCGUAGGUGAACCUGCGGCUGGAUCAUUAACACGUAUCCACGUAUCAACCCCCUCUGUGAAAAUUCAACACCUGAAGGUAGGGUUUAGCAUGCCUCUGGUCGCCCUUAAUGAUGGUUGGACUCCGGUCCAAAGGGUUAUGAACGAGGCGUGUGUUUGACACCUUGCCGCCAUUUUACCAUCGUUAGCCCUUUUUUUUACUCUUUUAACCCCUUGUACUUCUUGUACUGAACCAAUUCUGUCGAUACUUUUCUUAGGGAGAGUGACGACAAGAUAUUACGAAACUAAAAGAACAACUCUUAGCAACGGAUAUCUUGGUUCCCGCAUCGAUGAAGAACGCAGC
rnacentral:misc_RNA from 1 species